rnacentral:rRNA from 1 species
AGUGAACGCUGGCGGCAGGCCUAACACAUGCAAGUCGAGCGGCAGCGCGGGGGCAACCCUGGCGGCGAGCGGCGGACGGGUGAGGAAUUCGUCGGAAUCUGCCUUUUUGUGGGGGAUAACGUAGGGAAACUUACGCUAAUACCGCAUACGUCCUACGGGAGCAAGUGGGGGACCGCAAGGCCUCACGCAGAAAGAUGAGCCGACGACCGAUUAGCUAGUUGGUGGGGUAAAGGCCCACCAAGGCGACGAUCGGUAGCUGGUCUGAGAGGAUGAUCAGCCACACUGGGACUGAGACACGGCCCAGACUACUACGGGAGGCAGCAGUGGGGAAUAUUGGACAAUGGGCGCAAGCCUGAUCCAGCCAUGCCGCGUGUGUGAAGAAGGCCUUCGGGUUGUAAAGCACUUUUGUCCGGAAAGAAAUCCCUGGAGCUAAUACCUUCGGGGGAUGACGGUACCGGAAGAAUAAGCACCGGCUAACUUCGUG